UAUGUGGGGACCAAAUCCCACAGGUACUAGGCUUGAGUGCUCUUAAAGGUGCCCAAGUGAAAAGCUUUAGACUAAGCAUGCGACUCUGAGGCAAGACGGCAUCACACUCUGAAAUUUCCCAGUUCUGAAAUUCUGUGAAGGGACACACCAAGUCUAUAGGAGCCUGUAUCUGUGUGUGAUGGGAACAUGGGCAGAGACUGAGCUUCUGCAAAGGUGGAACAGCAAAGGCAAUGGAGGAAAGGAAGGCCACGCCCUCUCAUGUACGGAUCUAGAAACACUAAGGACUUAGCAGAGGAGUCCCAGGGUGAGGAAGGAAGAUUAGGGUUUCUUGGGGUCUUGGGGAGCCAUUUUUGCUUUAAGCAAAAUUUUCCAUUUUACAUAUGGGUUGUUGUUGGUUGGUUGGUGUUUUUAUUGUAGUUGUUUUGUUUAGGGGGGUUUUGGGGGUGGAUUUUCUUAUCUGUUGUAUGACUAUGUUUGAACAUAGAUUUUAUUUGCCAUAUUGGAAAAAAAAAAACAAAAAACUGAACAUCUGAGUUUUUUAACCCAAUGCUCCCAUGGACAAACCAGAGAAGUGAAACCCAGAUAGCGAAUAAACUUACCCAAACUUCCCUGUAAGCCAGGGCACAGCUGAGGCCUGGGGAGGAACCAGGAGGUGAUAUGAGCUCUGGGCCCUAUUAUCUCCCAAGCUCUGGGCCCUAUCUGCCAAGUUCCCCGGGGGACAGAGAGAGUCCUUGGCUUCCAGCUCUCUCCAUCUCACAGGAAGAAAGACAGGAUGCAAGCAUACCCUGAGGGAGCACAAGAAAGGCUCUGCACACAUUACAGCAGCUUGCACUCAUGACUGUUUCCCCACGCUCAGCAUCCUUGGCAUGCUCACCACAUACCUGGGAGCUAGCAAAGUUGGAGCCCAUAGCCCCAGUCACAGACAAGCCAAGACUGAGCAAGGCCGAAGCAGAGCCAUGUGCUUGACUGAGCUAGAACCCACACCGCAGAGGUGUUGUGGCUCAGGAGGAGCUGAGCUCUCCCCGAAGGAGAACCUCUCAGCAGACCACCCAUUCCUUCAUUUACUCAGCAGUGCUGCCGGAAGCCCACUGUGAAGAUGGGGUGGGUCGCCCCACCUGCUUGGGUGUGCCAGAGCUCAGGGUUGUGUGUUCUAGGUGCCUCAGAUUAGGCACAGAACUUGCUGAGCAGGCACUGGCUAGAAGGUUUCCAGAGAAAGGAAGUUGAGCCUGGGCUUGAGAAGGGACAAGAUGCUCUGUUUGUGGAGAAGGAUGGGUGGCAAGGGAAGGCGCUUUGUAGGUAGACAGAACAAACAGCGCAUGUAAGGGAAGGUAUAAGUUUGCUGUAUCUUGGGCAAGCUGAGGGGCUUGAUAGGGCACCAAUCCUAAGUCUGGGCAACAUAGUGCCAGUGAGCAAGCCUCCAAGGUGGGACACCAAUAGUGCCAGAGGUCUCAGCUCCACCUAUAGCAUGGUGAGUCCAACAGGUCCCAUUUUCUGAGCCCAGCUCUCUUAUCCAGGAAGAGAAAUAGCAGCCCUAUCUCUCCUAUGAUAUGAAAGUGCAUCCCAGCAUGUAAAGCAAUCAAUCAUAGACUACUUUGUUGGCAUUUGAAAGUUCUUGAGGCUUUUGAAUGGGGGACUGAAGGAUCUGGAAGAUGCUACUCUAUUUCUUGUGGUGCUGGGGACUGAACCAGGGCCUGUGCAUGUUAGGCAGCCCUGUGCCGUGGAGCUUCAGCCUAACCCAAGACAAUGUCACUUAGAAAAACAAUCCUGGGGCUGGAGAGAUGGCUUGGUGGUUCAGAGCACUGUUUUUUCUUCUGAGGUCCUGAGUUCAAUUCCCAGAAAACCACAUGGUGGCUCACAACCAUUUGUAAUGAGAUCUGAUGCCCUCUUCUGGCAUGUAGGUGUACACACAGAUAGAGCGCUCAUCUACAUAAAUAAAUAAAUCUUUAAAAAAAAAUUUAAAAAAGAAAAGAAAAACAAUCCCAAAGGGCCUGGAAAAAAGGAGGUGGAGGCUGGCCACCUGUCAGCAACAGUCACAGCCUUGGUCUGAAACUAUGAGAAGCGGAGCAGGAGAGGAAGCGGAGGGAACAGAGAAGAUGUGCACAUUUUACAUGGGAGAAUUACGAGGCUCAGUGGCUGGCCAAGCACAGUGACCAAGGAAAAACCAAGAGGUAGAUAUGGGUCCAGAAGAGACACUCGUGGUGGAUGAGAAAGAUGCUGGCAGUGCAGACCAUGGGUAGUUCAAGUUGGAUGUGGCCCUGACAGGGAUUCUGUGGGCCUUUGGAAAGACCGGGAGCCUGGAUUAUCGAUCUGGUCAUCUCAGCCCAGGUAAGAACAGAGGCCUCAGGGAACAAGAUUUCCCCUGGAGGAAGCAAGAGUGCUCAAGGAAGGGUGCUAGGAAACUGGCUGUGUCAUGCCCCCAUGCACUCACCCUCCCACACACACACACAUACUCACCCAGGACCAGGACCAGGAUCAGGAGGGAAAGCUUCCAGAAGGGAAGAGGAGGCAUUUCAGGAAGAGGGGUGCUGAGUAGCCUGAAAGGGAAACAGUCAUAUUUGGUGACAGGAAGGGAAAAGAGAGCUGGAAGAAUCCUGGUGGGAAAGGUGGGUGUGUGAGGGCCUCCCCUGGGUUAAAGCUUGCAGAGGUAGUUAAUGGUGGAAGUCGUGGGUGCAAAUGAGUCUUUGAAGGAGCUUGGCAGGGAAAAGAACAAAAGAUGGAUGGUUAGCUGCAGGAGAAGGAGGUCAAGAAGAGGUUGGUUUCAGCUGGGGGAAGAUCUGAGCAUGCUCACAGCUGCAGUAAAGAAAGCAGUGGCAAGAAGAAUAAGGAAGAGAUGCUGCGCGCAGGCCAGGCUCUCUACACACGUCUGCAAGCCCAUGGGGACCUAAACAGGUAUCAACAGCUGAAUGGACCCUGUACUCUGUCUGGUGUUCUACCUGCUCACAGACCUGGAAAUCCCUGGCUUUCUCCCAUCCCAUAGGUCCCUAGUCCUUUGAUGAGUGUUUCUGGGACACUCCCAGGCCUUUGCCUGAAGCCCAUAUCUAUUGACAUAUAGCUAAUAGUUUGCCAACAACAUUUCACAUCAAUAAAGACUUCCUUGCUCAGCACCAGCGCCUCCUCUUCUGGUGACCAGCCCACACCGCAGCUCUGCUCACCAGGCACCAGUCAUGAAUUUCUUGAUUUCUCUGACCUUAUCUGUAGCCAAAGAGGACCUUCUGGAUGCUCCUCCAUUUGUCACCCUUCACCAUCCAAAAGACAGCAGCCCGGCUCUACCAGACUCAUGAGAACCCAUGCCACCCCGGAGAGCCCACCUUACCCUGAACAGAGAACCUUCCUCAACACCACCUGUAAGAAGGCAAGAAGUGACUUCUGCUUCCCCUCCCCUUCACUGGGCAGAAGGGGAAAUCAAGUCAGGGAGGGAUCACGUGACUUCUGUUAGUGGCUAGGCAGGCUGGCUUCCAAAUGCUCUGUGCCUCCGCCGCUCCUCUCCACCCAUCCGAAGCUGCCCUUUGAUAAGGGCCCAGUACAUUAUGUGUGCUUCAUCAUGAAGAACCAGCCCUCAAGAUGCGGAAGGGGAAGACAGAAUAGAUUUGUUCACAGCAGUGUUACUCAAAAUAGCUUAAGAGAAGAAACCAUCCAAAUGUUCACCAACUAGAAUUACCAGAAUAUAUUCAGGACACCCAGUUUUUAAAAAAUGUUAGCAGCGUUAUUGGGAAAUCAUUUAUGUAUCAUAAAGUUCACUCAUUUAAAGUGUACAGGCAGGGGUUCUGAGACUAUAUUUACAGGAUUGUGCAACUAUCAACCAUCAUUUCACUUUCGAACAUUUUCAUCAUCUUCCUCUAAAAAAAAUCCCUGGGCCCACUACCAACUACUCCCCCUCCCCGGCCCCAGACAAUACCAAUGUUUUGGAGGAGAGAUUGAGAUGAUUCUCACUGUGUAACUCAGGCUAGCCUCAAAUUUGUGGUCUCUUGUUUCAAGUCUCAUGAAUUUCUGGGAUUAAAGGACUGGACACCAUA